rnacentral:rRNA from 1 species
UACGACUACAUAUCAGGCAUAUCAAUAAGCGGAGGAAAAGAAACUAACUAAGGAUUCCCUUAGUAACGGCGAGUGAAGCGGGAAGAGCUCAAAUUUGAAAUCUUCAAGGUUUUACCUUGACGAAUUGUAGUUUAAAGAAGUGUUUUCUGUUGAAGUUUUCGGUAAAAGUUCUUUGGAAUAGGACAUCAUAGAGGGUGAGAAUCCCGUAUUUGACCGUUAUUUUCAGCUGUGUGAUACACUUUCAAAGAGUCGGAUUGUUUGGGAAUGCAGUCCAGAAUGGGUGGUAAAUUUCAUCUAAAGCUAAAUAUUGGCGAGAGACCGAUAGCGAACAAGUACCGUGAGGGAAAGAUGAAAAGAACUUUGAAAAGAGAGUUAAACAGUACGUGAAAUUGUCAAAAGGGAAGCGUUUGACACCAGUGUUGUUUUCUCGAAAAUCAAUUAAAAUAAUGCUUGAUUUUGUGUUGUAUUGACCUUAAAAGCUUUCUUCACUUUUUUCAUGUCUAUUUUUAAUGCACUUUUCGUUUAACAAGUCAACAUCAGUUUCUUUUGUUGUAAAAAGGUCAUUGGAAGGUGGCUUUCUUUUCGGAGAAAGUGUUUAUAGCCUUUGACUCCUGCAAUCGGAGAGACUGAGGUCUGCAGCGUAGAUCCUUCUUGGAUUAGAUUCAUUUGUGCUAAGUUAUAGCUUUUCAUAGACAACUUGUUGACUAUGUUUAGUCAUUGUAGCUUACUCGCUUAUGUAAUUUUACCUACGCUUAGGAUGUUGAACGCGCACAGAGUCUC